UGGGGAAUUUUGGACAAUGGGCGAAAGCCUGAUCCAGCAAUGCCGCGUGUGUGAAGAAGGCCUUCGGGUUGUAAAGCACUUUUGUCCGGAAAGAAAUCCUUGGCUCUAAUACAGUCGGGGGAUGACGGUACCGGAAGAAUAAGCACCGGCUAACUACGUGCCAGCAGCCGCGGUAAUACGUAGGGUGCAAGCGUUAAUCGGAAUUACUGGGCGUAAAGCGUGCGCAGGCGGUUUGCUAAGACCGAUGUGAAAUCCCCGGGCUCAACCUGGGAACUGCAUUGGUGACUGGCAGGCUAGAGUAUGGCAGAGGGGGGUAGAAUUCCACGUGUAGCAGUGAAAUGCGUAGAGAUGUGGAGGAAUACCGAUGGCGAAGGCAGCCCCCUGGGCCAAUACUGACGCUCAUGCACGAAAGCGUGGGGGAGCAAAGCAGGAUUAGAUACCCUGGUAGUCCACGCCCUAAACGAUGUCAACUAGUUGUUGGGGAUUCAUUUCCUUAGUAACGUAGCUAACGCGUGAAGUUGACCGCCUGGGGAGUACGGUCGCAAGAUUAAAACUCAAAUGAAUUGACGGGGUCAUAGCUGUUUCC
rnacentral:rRNA from 1 species